UUUAUUUGUAUCAACCGACGCAGGCUGAAAAUCGAUUCGUAACAACCAUUCUCUAGCACGUUGCAAAGGAAUGGGGCUCGGCCGGGACCACAGAAAAAUUCGUAUCAUCCGGAAAUUCGUAUUAGCCGUGAUCGUAUCAUCGAGCUUUUACUGUACAUAGGAAAACAUCAGCCCUAGUGAACUACUGUGCCCUUACGAACCGCCGUGCGGCACUCCAGAGUGCGGUGCCAAGGUGUACUCCCGGCCGUCUCCGAGCACAAAGCUCCCUCUCUACCGGCUGCCAGCCGUUAAUUUCCGUCAGUCGAUCCCGCCCGAACGACGUUGACAGCCUGCCGAUAAAAACUGCGACCUUUCGAACAUGCCGGAUACAUUUAGAUCAAUGUGCCGCCGUGAUGAAACUGUCCGAGAAGAAAGCGAAAAUCACCGGCAGAUGCCUGGUGACAUUCUGGGGCAGUUUGAUGCACUUUUGCUGUCCUGACAAAUAGAGGCCGUCUUCCAAGUCUGUGCUGCUACCAUUAUCUAGAAAUUCAAGCCCAGAUGCAUCAGAAUCCGUCGAAAUUCGCUGUUUCCGUGGAGCAGCAGCGCGCUCCAGGGAUGGCGACGUCGAUGCCAUCUUCGAAACUAUGAGCGCUCAUCUCUCCGACUACGAAGGUGCUUCAAAAAUAUCCGCACUGUGGAAAACAAAAACGCAAAAGCGAAACUUAGUUUCGCUUCAACCUAUUCGGUGGCACUAGCUGUCUAAACGCACUCGGAGUGCACCAAAAUUCAAAUUUCUACCACCGAUAACAUACUAUCGAUGGGAAUAGGGGCGGUCAUGAAAGCGUUAAUUUUGGCAAAAAUAUUAUGCAAGUAUAAGUGGAUAAGUAAAUAUCACUUUUAUGAUCUUAAAAUUUUUUGUAACAAUUUGAGUAGAUGGCUGACUGUUUUAAAAUGCUCUGUCAGACAACAAACAACUGAUCAUCAGUAUAACGGAGAUCAGUGACCUCGUUCUUAAGUAUUGGUACUUCGAUAUUAACAAGUGACUGCUUAUAGGCAGUUGUGUGCUCAGAGUCUUUAUUACUCUCUCUCUCUUUUUAUUCUGAUGACACUGAAAUCUUUGCAAAUCGUCCUUCAUUAUAUCAAAAUGGUCAAAGCCAGCCCGUUUAUUCCAAGGCAAGUACGGCCGCCUCGGAAUGGCUGCCGCCUGUGUUGAUCCUGCCGGCGCUGUUUCCGUCCCAAAAGUAUGCCAAGCGAUGUUUGAAGCUGCAAGCUAUUGAAUUUGGUAUGUCCAUGGUAAAAAAAGUCCACUGUAAAAGAGAGCUGACCAGCUUGCAGGCCUUAUAAUUUAGCCAAUUAUAUCCGAAUUAUUUUGUACCCGAAUCCGUUGCAUACGAAGCUCAAUCAACGGAAGACAUAGGAAGAUCAGCAUAAUGCCUCAAAUUGGUAUGUAUCUGAAUAUCUGUUGUAAGCAGAUCCAUUGUGACGAGGUUAUACUGUAUCUAUCGCUUCUGGCGGAAAAAAUACAAUGUUCAACAGGUAGAACGUCACCGCGAACCGUUAUCAGCUAUCGGCAACACAUAAACAAAGCGUCGCCGAAUGGUGAUCUUCAGAUAACGGGUUAGUAACCACCGAUCCUUUGCUGCAUUGCGUGGCAACAUCAUGUGGUGCAGCGUUUUCGCUGAUUCAAGCCUCGUGAAUAUCGACCAUAACAAUAGAACUCUUGAGUGGUUCCCAAGGUGGAAGGACACAGAUGGUCAUUCCAAAUCGUUGAUAUAAGCGCAAUGCUCAGGUUUCCGCAUGGACAACUGCAUACCUGCCAUGUUCGAAGAAACCAAAUCCAGGAGAUCUUCCGACCGGGGGGGGGGGCACUUACACAACCCCCGACGUCUAUAUUUGCAAGUACUGACAGCAGAACAUUUAUUCACAGAUCUACAAAUGACCACAUGCCCAUCAAUGUCUCACUUUUGCAAGCAUUUUGCUGUUGCUACUUUUGCCUUCAAACAUUCUUUUAAUUUAACUAAAUUAUCGGGUCUUACAUCCCACAACCAGCAUCUGAUUAUGAGGCACGCCGUAGUGGUGAGCUCCGGAUUAAUUUCGACCAGCUGGGGUUCUUUAACGCGCACCCAAUGGACGGCACACGGGCGUUUUAGCGGUUCGCCCCAACUAAAUGCGGCCGCCCCGGCCGAGAUUUGAUCCCGCGAUCUCGUGCUUAGCAGCGCAAUGCCAAAGCCACUAAGCAACCACGGCAGGUGUUCAAAAAUUCUUCAGAGAAUGUUUGAUUGUCAGAAAUUCCAUUUCUUUAACAUUUUGCGAGGACGAGAUUCCUAGUGUUUUAGACGAGCGACACAUGGACGAGCAGCACUGCGUCCUCGUAUGUUAAAUUGCCGCUCGCACUCUGCAUUACUCUGUGGUAUCAACAAAAUAUCCAGCGUCACUUCGGCUGAGCACUCCAUUAAAAAUACUUGAAGAUACCUAUUGCGCUAGAACUCCUUGCUUUUAAACCAUGAAUGACCAUAGGCCUACGCAAUGCCAGAGCGGCUUAUGCCGAGGAGAAUGAUGGAGAGUCGAGUGUUGCUAGUUGCGGAACGCAGCAUUCGCUCGCUAGGGCACUCAACAACCCCGUCAGCGCAAGGAGUGGCUGCGCGGUUAUCGAAAUAGUGCAGGUAUAGGGUUUCCCUACUACUUUCUUAACAAUGUUUUGCCCGAUGAACUUCCAACUGGAUUGGAUUGGGUUAGAUUCUUUUUGCCAACGUGGCCUGAAAAAGCGCUGCACCCACAUAGAAACGGGACACAAGUGCAAUUUCCAGGUGAUUUUCUUGUCAACCGUACAAUCGGGAGAAAUAGUCCAAAUCCGGGAGUUUCCCGGGUAAUCCGCGAGACUUGGCAGGUAUGCAACUGCAAAAAAAUGAGUGUGCCGCCGUCGUGGCAUCCAAUAUCACACAGACACAUGCGGGAUGCGCGCUGUUGUGUGCACUUUUUUUAUUGUGACCGGGUUCAAAGCGUUCGUUGUAACAGUCAGACAAUUUAAGUGUUCAUUAUACCUGACAGCAACUUCCAUAGACAGGGUCGGGAAAUCGUAAAUGCACUGAAAUGUGGUUGUUAUAACCGACAGAUCGUUUAUUUGGGUUCGUUGUAUCUGGAUUCGACUGUAUAACAAAACUUCUAUUUGGCAAAGCCAAUUGCCGAUUUUACUGCCUUCGUUAUAAGGAGGUUUAACAGCACUAGUGCUUCUUUCCCCACCUGCCUUGUACUCUGGGGCACAGUCCUUCGUGAAGCCGUUCGGCUGUGUCAUGAGUAAAGAUUUUAAUUUGGGAAUAAAGAUGCACACACGUGCAUUAGCGCCUUUAGUUCGCAUUUUUUUUUU